GGAAAUUUGAGAAGGGCUGUCCUUAGUACGAGAGGACCGGGACGGACGAACCUCUGGUGUGUCAGUUGUACUGCCAAGUGCAUCGCUGAUUAGCUACGUUCGGAUGGGAUAACCGCUGAAAGCAUCUAAGCGGGAAGCUCGCUUCAAGAUGAGAUUUCCAUACACAUUACGUGUGAGAGGCCCCCAGCCAGACCACUGGGUUGAUAGGCCGGAUGUGGAAGCGAGGACUAAAGACUCGUGAAGCUGACCGGUACUAAUAGGCCAACAACUUACACC
rnacentral:rRNA from 1 species